CAAUAGCGUAUAUUUUAGUUGUUGCAGUUAAAAAGCUCGUAGUUGAAUUUCUGGUGAGCGAGAGCGGUCCGAUCAAUGAUUGGUGCUUGUUUUCGCUGGCCAUCCUUGGGUUUAGCCAGUCUGGCAUUAAGUUGUCGGGCUGGGGAUGCCCAUCGUUUACUGUGAAAAAAUUAGAGUGUUCAAAGCAGACUUAUGUCGUUGAAUAUAUUAGCAUGGAAUAAUAAGAUAGGACUACAGUGCUAUUUUGUUGGUUUGCGCACCGUGGUAAUGAUGAAUAGGGACAGUUGUGGGUAUUCGUAUUCACUUGUAAGAGGUGAAAUUCUUAGAUUAAGGGAAGACGAACUACUGCGAAAGCAUUUACCAAGGAUGUUUUCAUUAA
rnacentral:rRNA from 1 species